ACGAACGUGCUGGCGAAGUCGGUUCGGCGAUUCGUCGAGCCGGUGCGAAGUUAUUAAAGAAACGGACGUUUAGGCUUCGGUUCCGCCUGGAGGGCCGAGGCGACGUCGUAAAAUCAUGGAAUUGGAUUUGAGGCACCGUAACAACAAAACGACGACCUUUUUGCCCGAGGCUGCGAAGCGAUGCGCGGUUGGUGCGCAAUUGCAAGUUCUGACGGAACCGAGCACCGGAUGCCGCGGGAGGUCGAUUGCAAGUGUCGACAAGCAAUCGGAAUGCGCUAACAGCUUGCCUCCUUCGGACCUGUUGGUCGAGCUUUUCCCUUGGGUGGCCGUACCCACUAGGAACCAUAGAGUUGGUUCUCACCCCACGUUGCUUUGGGGUGUUACAGGUUUGCACAUGAGCGGCGCGACGGCGCGAGGAAAGGGCGUAGCUCCGUAGAUAGCGCCUUACCAUAGAGACCAGAGUUAGCCGUACCCCGAGUCGACAUAUCCUAGGGGUAUAGAGAUGAAAAGAUCAAUGUAUUAAAAUUGUAAUGAAUAAUUGAUGUAACAAUUCUUAUUAAGAUGUAUUAUACUUGUGAAUAAUGAUGUAGUAGCUUAGAUUACAUUUGGUUGGAAGUAAAAGUAAAUGGUAAACAAGAGGUAAAGUAUGAAUGAAUGAAUGUAAUAACAUAGGAUGUGUUUAUGUUGUUUGAUA